rnacentral:rRNA from 1 species
UACGGGGGGGGCAAGCGUUGUUCGGAAUUACUGGGCGUAAAGGGUUUGUAGGUGGCUUGCUAAGUCAGACGUGAAAUCCCUCAGCUUAACUGGGGAACUGCGUCUGAGACUGGCAAGCUCGAGUGCAGGAGAGGAACGCGGAAUUCCAGGUGUAGCGGUGAAAUGCGUAGAGAUGUGGAGGAACACCAGUGGCGAAGGCGACUCUUUGGCCUGUAACUGACGCUGAGGCGCGAAAGCGUGGGGAGCAAACAGG